AUUCAGCUGAUGAGUCUCAAAAAGGAUGAAACGCGCGUCUUGGAU
rfam:Schistosoma mansoni strain Puerto Rico chromosome 6, complete genome